rnacentral:rRNA from 1 species
GAGCUAAUACAUGCUAAAAACCCCGACUUCGGGAGGGGUGUAUUUAUUAGAUAAAAAACCAAUGCCUUCGGGGCUCUUUGGUGAUUCAUGAUAACUUAACGGAUCGCAUGGCCUUGCGCCGGCGACGGUUCAUUCAAAUUUCUGCCCUAUCAACUUUCGAUGGUAAGGUAUUGGCUUACCAUGGUUUCAACGGGUAACGGGGAAUUAGGGUUCGAUUCCGGAGAGGGAGCCUGAGAAACGGCUACCACAUCCAAGGAAGGCAGCAGGCGCGCAAAUUACCCAAUCCCGACUCGGGGAGGUAGUGACAAUAAAUACUGAUACAGGGCUCUUUUGGGUCUUGUAAUCGGAAUGAGUACAAUUUAAACCCCUUAACGAGGAACAAUUGGAGGGCAAGUCUGGUGCCAGCAGCCGCGGUAAUUCCAGCUCCAAUAGCGUAUAUUAAAGUUGUUGCAGUUAAAAAGCUCGUAGUUGAACCUUGGGCCUGGCUGGCCGGUCCGCCUCACCGCGUGUACUGGUCCGGCCGGGCCUUUCCUUCUGGAGAGCCGCAUGCCCUUCACUGGGUGUGUUGGGGAACCAGGACUUUUACUUUGAAAAAAUUAGAGUGUUCAAAGCAGGCCUUUGCUCGAAUACGUUAGCAUGGAAUAAUAGAAUAGGACGUGCGGUCCUAUUUUGUUGGUUUCUAGGACCGCCGUAAUGAUUAAUAGGGAUAGUCGGGGGCAUCAGUAUUCAAUUGUCAGAGGUGAAAUUCUUGGAUUUAUUGAAGACUAACUACUGCGAAAGCAUUUGCCAAGGAUGUUUUCAUUAAUCAGUGAACGAAAGUUAGGGGAUCGAAGACGAUCAGAUACCGUCGUAGUCUUAACCGUAAACUAUGCCGACUAGGGAUCGGGCGAUGUUUCUAUCUUGACUCGCUCGGCACCUUACGAGAAAUCAAAGU